rfam:Triticum aestivum genome assembly, contig: Triticum_aestivum_CS42_TGACv1_scaffold_542481_6DS
AUAGUACUCCCUCCGCCUGAAAAUACUUGUCAUCAAAAUGGACAAAAGAUGUAUCUAGAACUAAAAUACAUUUAGAUACAUCCCCUUUUAUUCAUUUUGAUGACAAGUAUUUCCGGACAGAGGGAGUAUCAU